GCACAAGCGGCCUAAUGGCUAAGGCACUGCCCUACUAAGUCAGGGAUUGUGGGUUCAAGUCCCAUCUGGGGUG